rnacentral:sRNA from 1 species
CGGGUAAUGGCCGCCGGCGGCCACUUAGCGGCAGGCGAACCUGUCCUGCCCCGCGAACCAGCUCUGGAGAACAGCCUCGGGGAUCAUCCCGUCAUCACUGGCGGGCACCCCCUUCGCUGCCACCUGGUACGCGCCGCCCUGCUGGCGUCAGAGCAGCAACGAUGACGCACCCG